GUGCUCACUUCCUCAGCACUUAUACUAAAAUUGGAACAAUACGGAGAAGAUAAGCAUGGCUCCUGCCCAAGGAUGACCAGCAAAUUUAUUAUGUGUCCCAUAUUUGA